rnacentral:rRNA from 1 species
UGGGGAAUUUUGCACAAUGGGGGAAACCCUGAUGCAGCGACGCCGCGUGAUUUAGAAGGCCUUCGGGUUGUAAAAAUCUUUUCUAUGGGAAGAAAAUGACAGUACCAUAGGAAUAAGGACCGGCUAAUUACGUGCCAGCAGCCGCGGUAAUACGUAAGGUCCGAGCGUUGUCCGGAAUCAUUGGGCGUAAAGGGUACGUAGGCGGGUAAGCAAGUUAGAAGUGAAAUCCUAUAGCUCAACUAUAGUAAGCUUUUAAAACUGCUCAUCUUCAGGUAUGGAAGGGAAAGUGGAAUUCCUAGUGUAGCGGUGAAAUGCGCAGAUAUUAGGAGGAAUACCGGUGGCGAAGGCGACUUUCUGGCCAUAACCUGACGCUGAGGUACGAAAGCGUGGGUAGCAAACAGG